GGAGAGGUGGCUCAGCAGUUAAGAGCACUGGCUGCUCUUCCAGAGGUCCUGAGUUCAAUUCCCAGCACCAUCU
rnacentral:tRNA from 1 species